AGGGCAAGUCUGGUGCCAGCAGCCGCGGUAAUUCCAGCUCCAAUAGCGUAUAUUAAAGUUGUUGCAGUUAAAAAGCUCGUAGUUGAAUUUCGGGGUUAGUAGGUUGGUCAUGCCACUGGUAUGUACUGAUCUUACUGAUUCCUCCUUCCUGAUGAACCGUAAUGCCAUUAAUUUGGUGUUGCGGGGAGACUGGACUGUUACUUUGAAAAAAUUAGAGUGUUUAAAGCAGGCUAACGCUUGAAUACAUUAGCAUGGAAUAAUGAAAUAGGACGUUCGAUCCUAUUUUGUUGGUUUUUAGGAUUGACGUAAUGAUUAAUAGGGAUAGUUGGGGGCAUUAGUAUUCAAUUGUCAGAGGUGAAAUUCUUGGAUUUAUUGAAGACUAACUACUGCGAAAGCAUUUGCCAAGGAUGUUUUCAUCAAUCAAGAACGAAAGUUAGGGGAUCGAAGACGAUCAGAUACCGUCGUAGUCUUAACCAUAAACUAUGCCGACUAGGGAUCGGAUGAUGUUAAUUUUUUAAUGACUCAUUCGGCGCCUUACGGGAA
rnacentral:rRNA from 1 species